GACUUGAUGGCGGAUGGUCCGCGUCUGCGUCUGCUAUGUAGGCGCUUCUGACAUAUUUCAGCAGAAGGCACCUGUUCGAAUCAGGCUCGAGUCA